UGAGUGCAGAAGAGGAGAGCGGAAUUCCACGUGUAGCGGUGAAAUGCGUAGAUAUGUGGAGGAACACCAGUGGCGAAGGCGGCUCUCUGGUCUGUAACUGACGCUGAGGUGCGAAAGCGUGGGGAGCGAACAGGAUUAGAUACCCUGGUAGUCCACGCCGUAAACGAUGAGUGCUAGGUGUUAGGGGGUUUCCGCCCCUUAGUGCUGCAGUUAACGCAUUAAGCACUCCGCCUGGGGAGUACGGCCGCAAGGCUGAAACUCAAAAGAAUUGACGGGGGCCCGCACAAGCGGUGGAGCAUGUGGUUUAAUUCGAAGCAACGCGAAGAACCUUACCAGGUCUUGACAUCUUCGGAUGUCCCUAGAGAUAGGGAGUUCCCUUCGGGGACCGAAUGACAGGUGGUGCAUGGUUGUCGUCAGCUCGUGUCGUGAGAUGUUGGGUUAAGUCCCGCAACGAGCGCAACCCUUGAUCUUAGUUGCCAGCAUUUAGUUGGGCACUCUAAGGUGACUGCCGGUGACAAACCGGAGGAAGGUGGGGAUGACGUCAAAUCAUCAUGCCCCUUAUGACCUGGGCUACACACGUGCUACAAUGGAUGGAACAAAGGGCAGCGAAGCCGCGAGGUGUAGCAAAUCCCAUAAAUCCAUUCUCAGUUCGGAUUGCAGGCUGCAACUCGCCUGUAUGAAGCCGGAAUCGCUAGUAAUCGUGGAUCAGCAUGCCACGGUGAAUACGUUCCCGGGCCUUGUACACACCGCCCGUCACACCACGAGAGUUGGCAACACCCGAAGUCGG
rnacentral:rRNA from 1 species